GAGAUGUGGCUCAGUGGUAGAGAGUUUGCCCAGCAUGCAUAAGGCCCUGGGUUCAAUCCCCAGCACUCA
rfam:Ictidomys tridecemlineatus contig022531, whole genome shotgun sequence.